GGGUUGUGAGGUUAAGCGACUAAGCGUACACGGUGGAUGCCUAGGCAGUCAGAGGCGAUGAAGGGCGUGCUAAUCUGCGAUAAGCGUCGGUAAGCUGAUAUGAAGCGUUAUACCCGACGAUACCCGAAUGGGGAAACCCAGUGUGUUUCGACACACUAUCAUGACAUGAAUACAUAGUGUCAUGAGGCGAACCGGGGGAACUGAAACAUCUCAGUACCCCGAGGAAAAGAAAUCAACCGAGAUUCCCCCAGUAGCGGCGAGCGAACGGGGAAGAGCCCAGAACCUGAAUCAGUUUGUGUGUUAGUGGAAGCGUCUGGAAAGUCGCACAGUAAAGGGUGAUAGUCCCGUACACAAAAAUGCACAGAUUGUGAGUUCGAUGAGUAGGGCGGGACACGUGACAUCCUGUCUGAAUAUGGGGGGACCAUCCUCCAAGGCUAAAUACUCCUGACUGACCGAUAGUGAACCAGUACCGUGAGGGAAAGGCGAAAAGAACCCCGGCGAGGGGAGUGAAAUAGAACCUGAAACCGUGUACGUACAAGCAGUGGGAGCCUACUAGUUAGGUGACUGCGUACCUUUUGUAUAAUGGGUCAGCGACUUAUAUUCUGUAGCAAGGUUAACCGUAUAGGGGAGCCGCAGGGAAACCGAGUCUUAACUGGGCGUUAAGUUGCAGGGUAUAGACCCGAAACCCGGUGAUCUAGCCAUGGGCAGGUUGAAGGUUGGGUAACACUAACUGGAGGACCGAACCGACUAAUGUUGAAAAAUUAGCGGAUGACUUGUGGCUGGGGGUGAAAGGCCAAUCAAACCGGGAGAUAGCUGGUUCUCCCCGAAAGCUAUUUAGGUAGCGCCUCGUGAAUUCAUCUUCGGGGGUAGAGCACUGUUUCGGCUAGGGGGUCAUCCCGACUUACCAACCCGAUGCAAACUACGAAUACCGAAGAAUGUUAUCACGGGAGACACACGGCGGGUGCUAACGUUCGUCGUGAAGAGGGAAACAACCCAGACCGCCAGCUAAGGUCCCAAAGUCAUGGUUAAGUGGGAAACGAUGUGGGAAGGCAUAGACAGCCAGGAUGUUGGCUUAGAAGCAGCCAUCAUUUAAAGAAAGCGUAAUAGCUCACUGGUCGAGUCGGCCUGCGCGGAAGAUGUAACGGGGCUAAACCAUGCACCGAAGCUGCGGCAGCGACACUUAGGUGUUGUUGGGUAGGGGAGCGUUCUGUAAGCCUGCGAAGGUGGCCUGUGAGGGCUGCUGGAGGUAUCAGAAGUGCGAAUGCUGACAUAAGUAACGAUAAUGCGGGUGAAAAACCCGCACGCCGGAAGACCAAGGGUUCCUGUCCAACGUUAAUCGGGGCAGGGUGAGUCGACCCCUAAGGCGAGGCUGAAAAGCGUAGUCGAUGGGAAACAGGUUAAUAUUCCUGUACUCGGUGUUACUGCGAAGGGGGGACGGAGAAAGCUAGGUUAUCCGGGCGACGGUUGUCCCGGUUUAAGCGUGAAGGUGGAUGACUUUGGUAAAUCCGGGUCAUCAUUAACACUGAGGCGUGAUGACGAGUCACUACGGUGAUGAAGUAACCGAUGCUACGCUUCCAGGAAAAGCCUCUAAGCUCCAGGUAACAUCAAAUCGUACCCCAAACCGACACAGGUGGUCAGGUAGAGAAUACUCAGGCGCUUGAGAGAACUCGGGUGAAGGAACUAGGCAAAAUGGUGCCGUAACUUCGGGAGAAGGCACGCUGAUGGUAGGUGAAGUGACUUGCUCAUGGAGCUGAAAUCAGUCGAAGAUACCAGCUGGCUGCAACUGUUUAAUAAAAACACAGCACUGUGCAAACACGAAAGUGGACGUAUACGGUGUGACGCCUGCCCGGUGCCGGAAGGUUAAUUGAUGGGGUCAGCCGCAAGGCGAAGCUCUUGAUCGAAGCCCCGGUAAACGGCGGCCGUAACUAUAACGGUCCUAAGGUAGCGAAAUUCCUUGUCGGGUAAGUUCCGACCUGCACGAAUGGCGUAAUGAUGGCCAGGCUGUCUCCACCCGAGACUCAGUGAAAUUGAACUCGCUGUGAAGAUGCAGUGUACCCGCGGCAAGACGGAAAGACCCCGUGAACCUUUACUAUAGCUUGACACUGAACCUUGAGCCUUGAUGUGUAGGAUAGGUGGGAGGCUUUGAAGCGUGGACGCCAGUCUGCGUGGAGCCAACCUUGAAAUACCACCCUUUAAUGUUUGAUGUUCUAACGUGGACCCGUGAUCCGGGUUGCGGACAGUGUCUGGUGGGUAGUUUGACUGGGGCGGUCUCCUCCCAAAGCGUAACGGAGGAGCACGAAGGUUAGCUAAUCCUGGUCGGACAUCAGGAGGUUAGUGCAAAGGCAUAAGCUAGCUUGACUGCGAGAGUGACAGCUCGAGCAGGUGCGAAAGCAGGUCUUAGUGAUCCGGUGGUUCUGAAUGGAAGGGCCAUCGCUCAACGGAUAAAAGGUACUCCGGGGAUAACAGGCUGAUACCGCCCAAGAGUUCAUAUCGACGGCGGUGUUUGGCACCUCGAUGUCGGCUCAUCACAUCCUGGGGCUGAAGUAGGUCCCAAGGGUAUGGCUGUUCGCCAUUUAAAGUGGUACGCGAGCUGGGUUUAGAACGUCGUGAGACAGUUCGGUCCCUAUCUGCCGUGGGCGUUGGAAGAUUGAGAGGGGUUGCUCCUAGUACGAGAGGACCGGAGUGAACGCACCACUGGUGUACGGGUUGUGAUGCCAAUUGCAUUGCCCGGUAGCUAAGUGCGGAAGAGAUAACCGCUGAAAGCAUCUAAGCGGGAAACUUGCCUCGAGAUGAGUCUUCCCUGGGCACUUGAUGCCCCUGAAGGGCCGUUGAAGACGACGACGUAGAUAGGCUGGGUGUGUAAGCGUAGCGAUACGUUGAGCUAACCAGUACUAAUGACCCGAGAGGCUUAACCUUACAACACCGAAGGUGUUU
rnacentral:rRNA from 1 species